rnacentral:rRNA from 1 species
AUUGAACGCUGGCGGCAGGCCUAACACAUGCAAGUCGGACGGUAGCACAGAGGAGCUUGCUCCUCGGGUGACGAGUGGCGGACGGGUGAGUAAUGUCUGGGGAUCUGCCCGAUAGAGGGGGAUAACCACUGGAAACGGUGGCUAAUACCGCAUAACGUCGCAGGACCAAAGAGGGGGACCUUCGGGCCUCUCACUAUCGGAUGAACCCGGAUGGGAUUAGCUAGUAGGCGGGGUAACGGCCCACCUAGGCGACGAUCCCUAGCUGGUCUGAGAGGAUGACCAGCCACACUGGAACUGAGACACGGUCCAGACUCCUACGGGAGGCAGCAGUGGGGAAUAUUGCACAAUGGGCGCAAGCCUGAUGCAGCCAUGCCGCGUGUAUGAAGGAGGCCUUCGGGUUGUAAAGUACUUUCAGCGGGGAGGAAGGCGAUGUGGUUAAUAACCGCGUCGACUGACGUUACCCGCAGAAGAAGCACCGGCUAACUCCGUGCCAGCCGCCGCAGUAA